GCUCAACCGGGGAGGGUCAUUGGAAACUGGGAAACUUGAGUGCAGAAGAGGAGAGUGGAAUUCCACGUGUAGCGGUGAAAUGCGUAGAGAUGUGGAGGAACACCAGUGGCGAAGGCGACUCUCUGGUCUGUAACUGACGCUGAGGAGCGAAAGCGUGGGGAGCGAACAGGAUUAGAUACCCUGGUAGUCCACGCCGUAAACGAUGAGUGCUAAGUGUUAGGGGGUUUCCGCCCCUUAGUGCUGCAGCUAACGCAUUUAAGCACUCCGCCUGGGGAGUACGGUCGCAAGACUGAAACUCAAAGGAAUUGACGGGGGCCCGCACAAGCGGUGGAGCAUGUGGUUUAAUUCGAAGCAACGCGAAGAACCUUACCAGGUCUUGACAUCCUCUGACAACUCUAGAGAUAGGGCUUUCCCUUCGGGGACAGAGUGACAGGUGGUGCAUGGUUGUCGUCAGCUCGUGUCGUGAGAUGUUGGGUUAAGUCCCGCAACGAGCGCAACCCUUGAUCUUAGUUGCCAGCAUUUAGUUGGGCACUCUAAGGUGACUGCCGGUGACAAACCGGAGGAAGGUGGGGAUGACGUCAAAUCAUCAUGCCCCUUAUGACCUGGGCUACACACGUGCUACAAUGGACAGAACAAAG
rnacentral:rRNA from 1 species